rnacentral:lncRNA from 1 species
AGGCAUCAGUCAUUUUAAAGCUCCCUAGGUGAUUCCAACGUGCAGUCAAGAUUUAGAACCAGAACUCUCAGGGAAUGUGUACAGAAUCCUUGAAAAGAUUUUAUUAUUAUUUUUUUAAGUAUAAAAUAGUUGACGUGUUGUAGAAAAAAAUUGAAAGUGGCAGAAAAACCUAAAAACAAAACAAAAGGAACCCACCUCCAUGCACUAUGACCCUGUCGGGAUUUGGCUUUUCUCCGUGAGCGUCUUUCCCCCACGGAGUCACACCUGCGUCUGAGGUUCGUCAGCCUCCAGCCUGCUUCUCUCUUCGGUGCUGUUUGUGAGCUUUACUUUUCCCUCUGGCCUCAGGCUGGAAGUGUGGAACCUUGGCCUGCAGAGGUGGUUCAGCUCCUCCUUCAACCUUUCCGAGCCCAGGGGAUGCGGUAGAGCUUGGGGGUCAAAGGUCACACCCUAGGCCUUCUGCUCCAGACACUGGAAGGACACUUUCGGUCGCCUUGCCGGGCCUCAGCCUUGCCCCUCUGCGAGAGGCCGACACUCCUGGCAGGGCAGAGGAUAUUUGGCUUCUCUCUGUUGACCCUGGGUUGGACCUGCUGUUGCUGGAUCACCAUGGAGAACCUGCCUGGCCCAGCACCCAGCGCUGGGGGUCCCUCCACUCCUGCCGACAGCCCUGGCUCUGGCGCCUCCUGCCAUGACAUGAAGGAUUCACAGGCGCCUUCACUCUCCACAAAUAUUUACUGAAAGCCUGUUACGUGCCAGGCACCGCGCCUGGUGCCCAAAUUAGAACUGGUUCCUCUCUCCUGGAGCAAGGAGAGGGAACAGGGUGUCCCGAGAGGGCCUUCCCGGGAGAUGUAACCCUGCCUAGUAUUUGGGGAUGGCUUCCUGGAGGAAGGGGCUGGUAGAUGAGAUGUUGGUUACGUGAAAGGGAGCAGGGUGUUCUAGAGAGAGGGAACAGCACGUGCAAGGGUCUGUGGCAGACGGGAGACACUGGAAGGGAGGGCAUUGUGACCCAUCCUGCUGCCGGGGAGGAGUGAGCUGCGCCAGGCCAGGCCACCAGAUGCUGCAGGCCAGGCAAGGACCUUAGAUGGCCUUCCAGGAGCCUCCCAAGCUUUCUAGGCAAGCAAGUAACACAAUCAGACACACACACACAGACACCCCUCAAGUGAACUACCGAGUUAGAGGUGUGGGAGCCCCCAUUAGACUUGCCCCUU